CUGCCCAAAAGAGGGGGAUAACACUUGGAAACAGGUGCUAAUACCGCAUAACAUAGUUACCGCAUGGUAACUAUGUAAAAGGUGGCUAUGCUACCGCUUUUGGAUGGGCCCGCGACGCAUUAGCUAGUUGGUGGGGUAAAGGCUUACCAAGGCAAUGAUGCGUAGCCGAACUGAGAGGUUGAUCGGCCACAUUGGGACUGAGACACGGCCCAAACUCCUACGGGAGGCAGCAGUAGGGAAUCUUCCACAAUGGGCGAAAGCCUGAUGGAGCAACGCCGCGUGGGUGAAGAAGGUCUUCGGAUCGUAAAACCCUGUUGUUAGAGAAGAAAGUGCGUGAGAGUAACUGUUCACGUUUCGACGGUAUCUAACCAGAAAGCCACGGCUAACUACGUGCCAGCAGCCGCGGUAAUACGUAGGUGGCAAGCGUUAUCCGGAUUUAUUGGGCGUAAAGAGAACGCAGGCGGUCUUUUAAGUCUGAUGUGAAAGCCUUCGGCUUAACCGGAGUAGUGCAUUGGAAACUGGGAGACUUGAGUGCAGAAGAGGAGAGUGGAACUCCAUGUGUAGCGGUGAAAUGCGUAGAUAUAUGGAAGAACACCAGUGGCGAAAGCGGCUCUCUGGUCUGUAACUGACGCUGAGGUUCGAAAGCGUGGGUAGCAAACAGGAUUAGAUACCCUGGUAGUCCACGCCGUAAACGAUGA
rnacentral:rRNA from 1 species